rnacentral:misc_RNA from 1 species
AAGUCGUAACAAGGUAACCGUAGGUGAACCUGCGGUUGGAUCAUUAUAAAAUGAAUCUUUUAGAUUUUUUUAUAUAAAAUAGAUUCGAGUAUUUUUAAAAAAGAUAUUCUCUAUUAUAUAAAAUAUCUAAUUUUACCCACUGUGCACUAUUAAUGUUUUUCGAGGAAAUUUUAUUAUAUAAAAUUCCUCGGUAGUUUUAAACAAACCCUUUAUAUAAUUUGUCUGAAUUUUUAUUAGAAAUAAUAAGAAAAACAACUUUUGACAACGGAUCUCUUGGCUCUC